rnacentral:rRNA from 1 species
GACGAACGCUAGCGGCGUGCUUAACACAUGCAAGUCGAACGAAAAGCGACGUGAGCUUGCUUAGAUCAAUCUUAGUGGCGAACGGGUGAGUAACACGUAAGCAACCUGCCCUGCAGAGGGGGACAACAGGUGGAAACGACGGCUAAUACCGCAUACGAUCUAACCUCGGCAUCAAUGAACGAUUAAAGCUGCCCCGUACCUGUAAGCUAUUACUGAAGGUGGGGUUGGCGUCUGAUUAGCUAGUUGGCGGGGUAACGGCCCACUAAGUCGAUGAUCAGGAGCAGGAAUUAGAGGAUGAGCGGCCACAUUGGGACUGGGACACGGCCCAGACUCCUACGGGAGGCAGCAGUGGGGAAUCUUACGAAAUGGAAGAAAGUCUGACGGAGCAACGCCGCGUGAGUGAUGACGGCCUUCGGGUUGUAAAGUUCUGUUAAUCGGGAUGAAAGGCCAUCUUGCGAAUAGUGAGAAGGAUUGACGGUACCGGAAUAGAAAGCCACGGCUAACUCCGUG